AAGAUGAAAAGAACUUUGAAAAGAGAGUUAACCAUUACGUGAAAUUGUUGAAAGGGAAACGAUUGAAGUCAGUCAUACCAACGGGAAAUCAACCUUUUGAGCUCGGUCUCGUGGGUUUUGAAGAGUUUCAAAGCCUUCGGAUUCGCGGGAUUGGGAUCUCUUGGCGUACUUUUUCGUACGGUUAGUCAACAUCGGUUUUGAAUGUCAUAAAAUGACUGGAGGAAUGUAGCUU
rnacentral:rRNA from 1 species